AGCGAACGCUGGCGGCAGGCUUAACACAUGCAAGUCGAGCGGGCAUCCUUUUCGUGUCAGCGGCGGACGGGUGAGUAACGCGUGGGAACGUGCCCUUCGGUCCGGACUAACUCAUGGAAACUUGAGCUAAUACCGGAUACGCUCCUUUGGGGAAAGGUCUACUGCCGAAGGAUCGGCGCGCGUCUGAUUAGCUAGUUGGUGAGGUUAUGGCUCACCAAGGCGACGGUCAGGAGCUGGUCUGCGAGGAUGAUCAGCCAGACUGGGACUGAGACACGGCCCAGAAUCCUACGGGAGGGAGCAGUGGGGAAUACUGGACACGGGAGGCAAAUCUGAUCCAGCCAUGCCGGGGGAGUGAUGCCGGCCUUAGGGUUGUAAAGCUCUUUUCUCCGGGACGAGAGUGACGGUACCGGAGGAAUAAGCCCCGGCUAACUUCGUG
rnacentral:rRNA from 1 species